CAGACAGCAGACGGAGACUGACACCCUCUUUUCAAUGAUGUUCACGUUGUGUAAUUACGUCACUUCAUAACGGUCCCAUGGCAACAGGGGAAAAUGGCUGCUCUUGUGUGAAGU